rnacentral:misc_RNA from 1 species
AAGUCGUAACAAGGUUUCCGUAGGUGAACCUGCGGAAGGAUCAUUACUGAGUGAGGGUCUUCGGGCCCGACCUCCCAACCCGGUGUCUAUGAACCUCAGUUGCUUCGGUGGGCCGGACGCGACCAACUGGUCGUGAACCCCCAGCCUCCGGGCUGGAGCGUUGCCCGCCGAUGGCCUCUCACAAACUCUUGGUACCCAACCUAGUCGUCUGAAUUGGAUUUUCAAUUAAAAACAAAACUUUCAACAACGGAUCUCUUGGUUCUG